GACAGCAUGGCAUAGUGGUUUGAUUGUUGGAUUACGACUCCAGAGACCAGGGUUUGAUUCCCAGCUUGGGCA
rnacentral:tRNA from 1 species